rnacentral:rRNA from 1 species
UACGGAGGGUGCGAGCGUUGUCCGGAAUCAUUGGGCGUAAAGGGCGCGUAGGUGGCCCCUCAAGCGUGCGGUGAAAGUCAGGGGCUCAACCCCUGAUCGGCCGUGCGAACUGGGGAGCUUGAGCACUGUAGAGGCAGGCGGAAUUCCGGGUGUAGCGGUGGAAUGCGUAGAGAUCCGGAAGAACACCGGUGGCGAAGGCGGCCUGCUGGGCAGUUUGCUGACACUGAGGCGCGACAGCGUGGGGAGCAAACAGG